UCGAAGUAAAACCUGCAGA
rnacentral:snRNA from 1 species